UCAACUAACUUCACCGCCAUCGCCCUUUGACACUGCCGACGGCGCCUACGACGUCGCCUAGUCCGAAUCUCACGACUCCCUCCUCAUCGCCUUCGUCAAGCUCUACAACCUCGCCCUCUCGCAGACCUCCAACCUACUCCGCUCCCACCACGAGCACACGCGUGAGGUCAGCUCCGCCGACUACAAACCCACGCGCCGCGACUCAUUGUUCACCGCCUCGUGGGACGACACCGUGAAGCUCUAGACCGUCGAACGCCCCGCCUCCAUUCGCACCUUCAAGGAGCACGCCUACUGCGUCUACUCCGCCGC
rnacentral:lncRNA from 1 species